rnacentral:rRNA from 1 species
UACGUAGGGUGCGAGCGUUAAUCGGAAUUACUGGGCGUAAAGCGUGCGCAGGCGGUUGUGCAAGACAGAGGUGAAAUCCCCGGGCUUAACCUGGGAACUGCCUAUGUGACUGCACGGCUAGAGUGUGUCAGAGGGGGGUAGAAUUCCACGUGUAGCAGUGAAAUGCGUAGAGAUGUGGAGGAAUACCGAUGGCGAAGGCAGCCCCCUGGGAUAACACUGACGCUCAUGCACGAAAGCGUGGGGAGCAAACAGG